rnacentral:rRNA from 1 species
AUUGAACGCUGGCGGCAGGCUUAACACAUGCAAGUCGAGCGAGAGGCGGACGGGUGAGUGAUGUCUGGGAAACUGCCUGAGGGAGGGGGAAAACUACUGGAAACGGUAGCAAAUACCGCAUAACAUCAGAUGUGCCUAGAUGGGAUUAGCUAGUAGGUGGGGUAAUGGCUCACCUAGGCGACGAUCCCUAGCUGGUCUGAGAGGAUGACCAGCCACACUGGGACUGAGACACGGUCCAGAUUCCUACGGGAGGCAGCAGUGGGGAAUAUUGCACAAUGGGCGCAAGCCUGAUGCAGCCAUGCCGCGUGUGUGAAGAAGGCCUUCGGGUUGUAAAGCACUUUCAGCGAGGAGGCGUUACUCGCAGAAGAAGCACCGGCUAACUACGUGCCAGCAGCCGCGGUAAUAC